UGAGUGUUUGCUUUGCUUUAUUUGUUUUUAGAAUAAUUUAGUUUAUAAAAAUCAGAAAAUUCCCCCAUUGUCUUAUAUAGGAAACUGAAACAUCUUGACAACCUAUACCUUUCUGUGGGAACCAUCCUUUCUUAUCCUUUUUAUAUUAUAUAUUUUGAGUAGUGAGAAAGUGAUGUGAUCUUCUAACUAGUGGCAGUGAUCUUCCUUCGCCACCUAGAAUAACGUGCUGAAUUUUGUUAAUCCAAUGGUUGGCUGGCCGUCCGUCACGUCCCACGCUAUUUCUAUUAGUUCUGUGUCUUAAAAGCGAAUCGCAUAAAUUGGGGUUUUCCAUUAUGGAACGUCCAUCCAGUGGCAAUUCUCUUUUUAACACCAGAUUGGUGUUUCAAUCGAUUUAGGAUCCCUUCCAAUUCUCUCUUCAUGUUCCGAUAAAUAGCAAUCCCAUCGUGUUCCGAGUAAUUUAUUUAUUUCUCUUAAUUUCCAAAUUCUAUAACGGAUCAGAAACCCUAGGAUGCCUUUGUAUUCUCUCCUCAACAAUCAAAGGUCUUCCAAAUCCAGAUUGAUUUUUGCAUUAACCGGAUUCUCUCUAUAAAAUGUUAAACCCUAAUCGAGAACAACAGCAGUUUCAUUGAACUUUUGUUGCCCAAGGAACAAACGAUAUGGUAUUGCAGAUUAAUAUCAAACCCCAGCAGGUACCAUCCUCAGUUACCCAUGACAAGUUGAAGAGUUUGCGAUAUGUUGAUGUAGGAAAAUCAAGCUUCCUUAGUGUUCAUGUUACUAGGAAAUGGGAAGAAUUGGACUUUAUGUCCACCAACGACAGCAGGGAGAUGACCAUAUUUGAGAGGGUGGUCAGUACACUAUUGAGAAAUUACUCUCGACUUCUGCCAAAAUUCAGGCCAGCAAACAGUGAGAAGAGGGGCUCUUUCGGUGGAACACCUCACUCUCUGCGCCGGAUGCUUAUUCUAUAUUUAUUCUAUGCCGAUUACUCCCCAUAAUUUCCGUAUCACUGAGUUCAAAGCACUCCAAUCGAAUCUUUAAAACAUCCAUCUUACAGGUAAUUCUCACUACAUCCGUUUCAUCUUAUUUUGUAUUCUGGUUCAUGUAAUGUUAUGUUCCUGGUAGUACAUAGGUUCCUUAAAUUUCAAUUAUAGCAGGUGCCUCUUAGGUCAUUACACAGACUGUUAGAUGGGUUCCAAUUCCCUUGGUCACUACUGGAUAUUUAAUGUGGAUGUGGUUGGGUUCUUAAAAACCAUCACCAACAUCCAGGUGCUUCAGAGGGAUGGUGGGCAAUCCUGCCGAAUACGUAACAUCUUUAAACCAAUUUUAACAUCUUUAAGAAUGGUAUGCAGUUGUUUUGAAAUCCAAGUUCAUAAGUAUGCUUAGCUUUCAUUAAUGUUUUUAAUGUUAAAUUUUGGCGAAUAACAAUUGAGAAUGUUAGAUAUACACAGUUUACUGUUAGCGUGGCUUAGUUUGUCAUUGUACAAUUUGUUUGUCUGUAUAUAUAAUUUUAACGGUUAUUUUCUAAGUCAGGGGCUCAACAAUGAAAAUUAUUAUAUGAGGUUCUGCCCGCUAAUCAAGUUGGGAAUGUCCCAAUUGAUUAUGACUACUUCAUCUCUAACCAAGGACGGAAACAUCUCUAAACGUCUUUGCCGCCAACGUGCUAAUAUUUUAUCUUAGCUCCCAGGCAGAAAUACUGCGAAUCUACAUACAAGACUAUAUGGAGGAAAGCAGCGCUCUUCGUAGUGAUCAUUCAAUUAGGAUUCAUAUAUGACUCUGACUAGCACUAAUGAUGUUGCCGACAGUGGAACAUGUCAAUGUAUCACCCGUCAUCUUAAAUUCAUAUUGUGAUUUACAUUAGUUUUUGGUGUUUGAGAUCGUGAUUCUAAAGCAAUUGACAGUGGCAACAAUUAACUGUGCUUAUACAAGUGGACGUCACACAGCUUAUUUUUUGGUUUCAAUGGGUGUAGACAAAUUUGAGCAUAGCAUUUGAGGUGUAUUUCUGUUUAAAUUGAACUAUAAGAUGUCCACAAACAGAUAUGAUCUUUGAUAUCGACAUUGGCAAUAGCCAUAGCAGUUAUGAAUAUACUUGGGAUCCAUUAAAAGCA